UAGGGAAUAUUGGGCAAUGGAGGGAACUCUGACCCAGCCAUGCCGCGUGCAGGAUGAAGGCGUUAUGCGUUGUAAACUGCUUUUAUAUAGGAAGAAAUAGUCCUUGCGAGGAAAGUUGACGGUACUAUAUGAAUAAGCACCGGCUAACUCCGUGCCAGCAGCCGCGGUAAUACGGAGGGUGCAAGCGUUGUCCGGAUUUAUUGGGUUUAAAGGGUGCGUAGGCGGUUUAUUAAGUCAGUGGUGAAAGACGGUCGCUCAACGAUUGCAGUGCCAUUGAUACUGGUAGACUUGAGUAUGAUUGAGGUAGCUGGAAUGGAUAGUGUAGCGGUGAAAUGCAUAGAUAUUAUCCAGAACACCAAUUGCGUAGGCAAGUUACUAAGUCAUAACUGACGCUGAGGCACGAAAGUGUGGGUAUCAAACAGGAUUAGAUACCCCGAUAGUCCCUGAGCGGGCUGGCAAGGCG
rnacentral:rRNA from 1 species